UGGGGAAUAUUGGACAAUGGGCGAAAGCCUGAUCCAGCAAUGCCGCGUGAGUGAUGAAGGCCCUAGGGUUGUAAAGCUCUUUUACCCGGGAAGAUAAUGACUGUACCGGGAGAAUAAGCCCCGGCUAACUCCGUGCCAGCAGCCGCGGUAAUACGGAGGGGGCUAGCGUUGUUCGGAAUUACUGGGCGUAAAGCGCACGUAGGCGGCUUUGUAAGUCAGAGGUGAAAGCCUGGAGCUCAACUCCAGAACUGCCUUUGAGACUGCAU
rnacentral:rRNA from 1 species